rnacentral:lncRNA from 1 species
UUUGAGCAGAGUUUUUGCUUGCAUUUGUUUGUUUGAUUAAGUGUCCUUAUUACUGGCUUCUCUUUCUCCUUUUAUAGACAACUCGGUUUGGCCUCUUGUAGCAGCAGCCUUGCCCGAAUGCGGUUUGAGGGUGAUGACUCAUCAGCUAUUUUACAUGUGAUGCCACCAUAAAGUACUUUAUGGGCUGUGUAGCUGGUCAGUCUAUACCACUUGGUCCUUGGGUAGGUAAGCAAGUGGCCUUCAUGAACUGUAUCAAGUCAAAAAAUGCCAUUUUUUGCUUUUCUAGGUUUCGGCCGGGCCCUGAUCAACUAUUCCUUCAGGCCUCCUUUUGGGCCAGCUCCUUUCUUGAGCCCAAAGUCAAGUUUUAAUCCAAACAGUGCCCCCUUCAAUUAAUGUUAAGGUUGGAAUCCCAGGCGCCAUCAUUGAUUGAAUAUCCGCAUGCAUGUAUCUCAACCUUUUGGAACUUGUGCUUUCUGUACGCCUUGCUCUUCUCACGACCUUUGAACUGUCCUCUGGGCCCUAUAAAUUCUAGCUCGGGACCUCUCCUGUCAAGCCAUCAAAUCCCCUUCGGCUUUCACUUCCCUCCUCUUUGAGCGUUCUUGUCUCCUUUUAGAAACUGAGAAAUGGGUUCCUCAGGAUUUGAAUGGAGUUUCCUAAAACUCCCUUUUCGUGAGAAAAAAAGGGUUCACCCAAUGACUGCUAUCUCCAACACCCUUGGUCAACCACCCCACUAUCUCCAACACCCCUGGUCAGGCGGUUUCCUCUCGACGGUUUGUUUUCCCGCAAGUUGCGGUGAUAAAUCAGGCUUCACCAUCACAUAUGGUGACAGUCCUGUCGGAGGGUCCUCUACCAGGCACAUGUUGGCCGCACAACCCGAUCACCCGAUUGGGUUCCAUUCAUGAAGACAUCGGGAAACCAGCUGAAGGCAUCACCAUAUUCAGAGAGAAUCAAAUGUAAUACGUAGGAAUUGAAUCCUUUGUUAAUUUCACCAAUUUGUCGACAUGAAAGAAAUAUUAUUUCAGCAAUUUCUGUCUUCUGUCUUCUUUGAAUGGUUGAUGAACAAAGCACUGCAUAUGAAACUCCCGAAACCCGCUUUACUUUGCCCCAUCUUCAAUGUAACAAUCCCUAACAUCCCAUAAUGUAGGACAAUAUUUUUUUAAGAAUUUAACAUUAAUGGGAUGUUUCUGCCCAUUUCCUUCGAGGUCCGCUAGGUAGUAUCCUCCUUUAUUCAAAACUUGACUAACAAUGAAAUGACCCUCCCAUGUCGGGCUCCACUUUCCAAAGCCCCGAAGCUGAGCUCCUAGCGGGAGGACUGUUUUCCAUACUAAAUCUCCCUCUUUGAAAGACUUUAUCUUCACCUUCUUGUUAUAAGUUCGGGCAACAGCUUUCUUUCCUUCUUGAAUCUGGUUCAAGGCUUCAAUUCGGACUACAUCCAGGUCUUCAAUUCCUUGACACAUGGCUUUGAUGUAUUCUUCACUAUGUAGCCCAAAUUGGUUUUGAAUUCUUACAGAACUAACGUUAAUCUCCAUGGGGAGCACUGCAUCUUGCCCGAACGUCAAAGCAUAAGGAGUUGUCCCCGUUUCUGCCUUCUUGGAAGUUAUGUAUGCCCAUAACGUAUUCCCCAGCCUCUCAUGCCAUUUUUCUGGACUAUCUAUCACCAUUCUUUUGAUAAUGUUGACCAGGAUCUUGUUGCUAGCCUCUGCCUGACCAUUUGAUUAAGGAUAGUACGGACUGGACUGGAUCAUUUUUAUUUUGUACUUGCUUGCAAACUCCUCAACUUCUUUUGAAAUAAAAGAUGACCCACGAUCCGUUACUAUAGUUUCAGGCACCCCAUAUCUAUGCAGAAUCUUGGACUCGAUAAAAUUCUUGACUACGGCUGAAGUUAUGGAUUUUACUGCCGAUGCUUCCACCCACUUGGUGAAGUAAUCCGUUGCUACAAUUAUAAAAGUAUGCCCUUUACUAGAAGCUGGAUAGAUUUGCCCGAUGAAGUCCAUCGCCCACCCUCUGAACGGCCAAGGCUUGACCACUGGAUUCAAAGGUACUGAAAGCACGUGUUGGAGAGGUCCGUGCCGCUGACAUUCUUCACAACCUCGGGCAUAAGACUUGCAAUCUUUUUCCAUAUCGGGCCAGAAAUAACCGUACCUUCUAAGCAACCAUCUUACUUUGUCCAUGCUUGAUGUGCUCCACAUAUUCCCUCAUGUACUUCGGCCAUCACUCUCAUGGAUUCCUCUUGGCCUAAGCAUUUUAAUAGUAAUCCAUCUGGGGUCUUCCUUAGCAGGUUCUUCGCCCAUAAAACAUAUUUGGUUGCUUGCUGUCUACUUUUCUUACUUGUAGGCGAAGAAGGAUCCUUCAAAUGAUGAAUGAUAGGUGACCUCCAAUCUUCCAUCUCGGUCUCUAGAACCAUCACGUCCAAACUGAAUCCCCUUUCUAAGAUAGAAGGAAGGUUUCUUCUUUGGAUCUCAACAUCUACCCCAUAUUUUCUCUCCUGUAUUGGCACUCCUGAGGCUAGUUGUGCCAUCUCGUUGGCCGCUAAGUUAGAUCCCCUGGGAAUAUGAUUGACUGAUAUCUCGGACUCCUAGAAACUCAAUAAUUGCGUUGCUGUCAUGUAAUACCCCGCCAUAGUGAUAUGUCUGCACUUGAACUCACCAUUCAGCUGGUUUAUUACUAACUCUGAAUCACCAAAGAUCUCUACUUCUGCUGCCCCCAAAUCCAUCAGGAUUUCCAGACCAAUAAUCAGGGCCUCAUAUUCUGCCCGAUUAUUAGUAUUUUCUUGGUAAUCUAGAAGAAAUGAGUAAUAAUGAUAAACCCCCUGAGGAUUUACAAUCACAAUCCCAGCCCCUGCAGCCCUCUGAGUGUGGAAUCCAUCGAAAUACAGCUUCCAAGGAGUGAUCCAGAGACCCGUUACUCUUCUUAUCUCUUGUUGGACCCAAUCUUCUUUGCCUGAAACAUCUUCUCUUGGUGGGAUCCAAACGCUAGUAACCUCCAAGCUCCCCGGGACAUUGAUUACCUCACUUUGAGAUUCUUGAUGCUCAGUCAGGAAGUCAGCAAUUGCCUGGCCUUUGACUGCCCUUUGGGGUACAUAUUGAAAACUGAAUUCUGAUAGUGCUAGAAUCCACUUCCCAAUUCUUCCUGUUAGCAUUGGCUUUGACAACAUGUACUUGAUCACAUUUGUUUUGGCGAUGAUGUGCACGUGACAGGGCAACAUAUAAUGCCUUAGCUUACUGGCAGUAAAAUAUAGAGCCAAACAUAAUCUCUCUACUGGAGAAUAUCUUGUCUCUACCUUGGUCAGAAUUCUGAUGAGGUAAUAUAUGGCCUGCUCUUUCCCGCCUUCAUUAUUUUGGGCUAACAAACUCCCGAUUGAUCUUUCCGAAGCAGAAAUAUAUAGCUUUAAAGGCUUUCCCCUUUGAGGUGGCACCAGCACUGGUGGCGAAGUUAAAUAGGCCUUGAUGCUGUCAAAGGCCUGUUGGUGGGGCGGCCCCCACUCGAAAUUCUCUUUAUCUUUCAAUCUUAGUAGAGGAGUCAGCGGCUGGAUCUUGCCCGUUAAAUUGGCAAUGAAUCUCCUCAAAAAGUUGAUUUUGCCUAGGAGCCUUUGGAGUUGUACUUUAUUAGUGGGUGAAGGUGACUCCAUUAUUGCCCGAGAUUUGUUCUUGUCCACUUCCACACCUCUCUGAUGCACCAGGAAUCCCAAGAAGUUGCCCGCUCUCACUCCAAAUGCGCACUUCUUUGGAUUCAUCUUCAAUUUGUGGACCCUCAUUCUUGUCAAUGUUUGCUUGAGGUCUACUAGAUGCUGCUAUUCUGUUUUAGAUUUUACCACGAUGUCAUCGAUAUAUACUUCCAUGCUCUAGCCAAUUAGAUCGUGAAAAAUGGCAUUCAUUGCCCUUUGAUAGGUUGCGUCAGCAUUCUUGAGCUCGAAUGGCAUGACCAGAUAUUCAUAUGCCCCCACGUGACCGGGACACCUAAAAGCUGUUUUAUGAAUAUCUUCUGGAGCCAUCUUUAUCUGAUUAUAUCCGGCAUUUCCAUCCAUAAAAGAUAAAACUUUAUGUUUUGCCACUGCAUCUAUGGAUAAAUCAGCCAUGGGCAUGGGAUACUCAUCUUUUGGCGUAUCACUAUUAAUAUUUCUGUAGUCAACACAACAUCGUACUGCUUUUGUUAUAGCUUUUAAAACGGGUACAAUGUUGGCCAGCCACUCCACAUAUUUGGCUGGUCUGAUAAAGCCAGCUUUUACCAGCCUUUCGAUCUCUUCUUUGACCUUUUCUUCUAUCUCCUUCGACAUCCUUCGUGGUGCUUGCUUAAUAGGUUUAUAUCCCUCCUUGAUGGGCAUUCUAUGUUCUACCAAGGUUGGAUCUAACCCUGGCAUCUCGGUAUAAUGCCAAGCAAAACAAUCUUUGAAUUCUUGCAAAAGACAAAUAAUCUUUGCCCGAUCAUCAACCCCUAAUAAACCACUGAUCUGUAUUGGUCUCGGAUCCUCCUCUGUGCCUAGAUCAAUAAAUUCCAGAGGAUCCUGGACUUUUGGUGGUGGCUUAUCCGGUUCUGCACACAAAAAUUCGACCAACUCCGGGCUCUCGGGCAGGUCGUCUGGCUCGUCUAGAUCAUAUAUGCAUUCAGCCAUUUGAAUGGCCCUAUCCAAUUCUUCUUUGCAAGAUUCCUCCUUGCUUCCAUGCUGGUUAGUUGAAGCUUCUUCCUGCCAUUCCUGCUCUUCAUUAUCUAAGAGCUCCAUUUCUUGACUGCCAUGACCUGAUCUUUCUUCUUUUGUUCAGUCAUUGAUGGUGUAGGGGGUUUGGGAUGAUACAGGGUAUAUCCCACUCCUCUUUAGUAAGGAGCAUUCCUUGUUCCAAAAGCUUUUGGGCCGUCACCUUGGUAGGGCGGCCGUUCUUAUCAGCUCCUGAACAUUUCAAGAUUCCUACGUUGGGGUUGUAGAAACUUGCUUCUGCAACAUUGGCUGUGGGGAGGAACGGCCGUGAUUCGGCCUCUACUAUCUCCCAAAAGCCUGGUCCUUUUGUAUCUGCCUCGUGAUAAACAGCUACUUAUUGAUGAAGAGGAGGGUAUGGCUAAACUUUGGUGGAUCCAAUCUCUUCCGAGUAAGGCCCCAUAAGUGAAGGUGCAGUCCACUACAAAGAAUGCCAGCAUUAUCUGUUUGGAUCCCAAAUCCACUUCUAAUGGCAGUAUCCCAUGAGUCUUGGUGAUAGCGCCUGAGAAGCUAGAGACCGUGAGGUCUGUGGGAAUAAGAUCCUCCGUGCCUCUCCCCAUUUUCCUCAUCUGCUUGGCUGGUAACACAUUAACAGCUGCUCCUCCAUCAAUUAGAAUUCUUUUAAAGGGCACACCCUUCAAGUGAGCUGUAACAUAUAUGGGCUUUAGAUGGUUGGCCAACGAGAUGCUUGGGCGGCUAAAUACCAUCUCAUCUGUAUAAAUCCUUAAAUAACCACCUUUGGAUGCUUCUGAGGGUUCAGUUUUGCCCGAGUCUUCCUCUUCAACUACCUCCACAUUGACAUGUGCCAUCAUGGGCUCAGUGGUCAAGUAAUCACCCUCCAUAGUAGCGGGCUGAUCAGGCUUGGCACCAAACGUGGCGGAUAAUACGUGUGCCAUGUUAAUAUGGAAAUUACUAGGCUUGAGCAAAUCUUCCUUCUUGCUCCCAAUCUGGUCCAUGAAUUCAUCCAACCAGGCCAUCGCAUCGGCGGGAAGUAGUGGUUCUGGUGUCCUUUCCUGUUGCUGUUGAUUCAUACCCGCAUACAGUGUUUGUUUUGGAACUUCACCAAAAGGAUCCACCAAUGGCAGAGAAUGUGGUCUCCUUUCAGAUGGAACGGUUCCAACGCAAAUAGGCUCCGGCUUCCACCUAGGGGUUGGCACCAUAAUCAGAUCUUCUUGAGCUCUCCUCAAGAUUCUGUACUUUCCAGGGUGUUGGCUCUGCGACACAUGAUUCCCUUCGCCCUCUGUUUUGCUGUUGGCAUUUUCCACCUCUUUCUUACUUCGCCAACAGAACUGACUACUACCUUCAGAUGCUGUUUUCUCCAACUUUUGGUUUUUUGAGGCUUCGGAUGUGGUGAGGGUCUUCAGGGAAUUCAUGUAGGCUUUGUGCUGCCUUUGAACCCUCCUGACCAUGGAGGCUCCCAUCGGUUUGGUAGGCUGUCCGUUCUUUCCGACUACAUACCAUUUUCGCCCGAGGUGUGCAGGAUUCCCUUUUCUAACAGGAUUAGUUAUCCCAUCAGUCCUCUUGAUUUCCCUCCCCAUCUGGCCAUUUUGAGGAUGAUCUGCACCCCUCCGUGUUUUGGCCUCCAUAUCUUCUGCCUCUUCAGAAGCUUCAUGGUUUCGAAACACUUCUGACAAAGCCUUGGGUUGGGAAUCACCUCCUAAUCGUUGAAAAACGCUUCGGGAAGUGUCCUUCUUUGUUGCCUGCUUAAUCUUUUCGCGGGCUUCUCUUCUUAUAUCUUCUUCCUUUCUCCUGAUCAGUUCGUGAUCAAUGAGGAUUCCAGCUGGGGGAAUUUCGAGCUCACAUUCGCACUGGCACUUACUACACAUAACCAUCCCCUUGAUUAUGGUCGCUUUUGGAUAUUCGGGCGAUUUGAUUAUCCCCUCUGUAGGUCUUUUAGCCAGUCUUUCUUCCUCUUCUUCUCUUGUAAUCUUUCCUUUUCCUUUCUCCGCCCAUGUCAUAUUGAUCAUAUUUAUAGGGGCCUCUGAGAAGGGAAGUGCAGGGUUGGCCACUACCAUCUCUUCGGGAGGAACCAAGUCUAUAUCACUUCUAGAGCCUGUAGAGGCUUUCUCCAAUCUUUGCAGCAUUUGAAACAAUGUGGUUUGCAAAUCUUCUGGCAUUUUUGUCAUUUAUCUUCUAACCAGCAUGGAGGUCCCACUAGGCGUACCAAAACUAUGUUUGUGUCAGGAAUUUUCAUCGGGGAUGGUUCCUGCCGACAAGCACACAGCUCCCCGGGAGGUUGGCGCCGGUUGAGGGCAGCUGUCGGGCUUCUAUUUCAUUAUCGGGCUUGGUCGAGCAAGUCUCGUCGGGCAAGUCUUGGUCGGGCAAGACUCGUCGGGCAAGGCUGAAAGAGAAGGACAGAGUUAAUUUGAAAGGUGCCUUUGUGGGGCCUUAGUUGUAGGCCUUGAGGCUCACAAUCAAGAUUAACUUUGAGGUGCUCAGGCGUGCCAUUGCCAUCUUUAGUAUGGCAGAUGUAGAAUGGAUGUCACGUUUUCGUUGCAAAUAUGCAUAUACCCGAGCAACCGUGUUAGAUGUGGCAGGUGCCUUUGUGGGGCCUUAGGUAUAGGCCUUGAGGCUUCCUAUCAAACUAAACCAGUGUUCGAACACAUCAUAUUUGGUCUCGUGAUUGCAGGAGCCUUGUAACUAUUAUACUUCUGAUUACCUGAGUCUGAGAGGUAGGACGAACCUAAAUAAGUGCCUUUGUGGGGCCUUAGGUGUAGGCCUUGAGGCUUCCCAUUAGAGUUCGUUCUAAUACUCAAACAUUCUAGAUCGCAGGACGAAAUGAAUCCAAAUAGGUGCCUUCGUGGGGCCUUAGGUGUAAGCCUUGAGGCUUCCCAUCAGAAUCCAUUCCAUGCUUAAACGUUAUAUGAUAAUCAUAAUAUAAUAGAAACAAAACAAAGAGGUAGGUCGAUUACUUGCGCUCCAAGUAACUUCGAACUUCUCGUUUAUCAAGGACUGUCGUGGAUGGGUUAAGUCCACAUAAAGUUCUUUUUUAUGCCUUGAGGCCAAGGACUUUUAAUUGACCAGAUUUACACGCCCGAGGGCUUAGGACUUUGGAUCUGGUUUAAACACUGAAGAUAUAUUCAAAUCGGAUCCAAGUACUGAGAAAGCUUUUUAAUAGCUAUCUUGCUAGAAAUAACUUGCAUAUAACUGGAAGUAUACAACAUAUUACUAGGCUUUAAAGCAUGAAAAGACAAAAACAAAACAAAGAAGGUCGGGCAAGGUUAAACCUUAUUGGUUAAGGCUGAUCGUCUUGCAGGUUCCUAUCUUUGUAGUUUUGUCAAAGGUCUGAAAGCUUAGAAAGAGAGGGAGGUAGAGAGGUACAAAAAGUGAAUCGAUACUACACCAAGUUUGGACAGGGUAGCAGAGCUAUUACAAAGGUUUGAAAGAAAGGUUAUCCCGCGAGGGAUGAAGGCUUGUCCCGAAAGGGAUGAAGGCUUGGGCUGACUACAGCUUCGUUUUGAAAGCAAAUCUAGCUUUGAGCAGAGUUUGUGCUUGCAUUUGUUUGUUUGAUUGAGUGUCCUUAUUACUGGCUUCUCUUUCUCCUUUUAUAGACAACUCGGUUUGGCCUCUUGUAGCAGCAGCCUUGCCCGAAUGCGGUUUGAGGGUGAUGACUCAUCAGCUAUUUUACAUGUGAUGCCACCAUAAAGUACUUUAUGGGCUGUGUAGCUGGUCAGUCUAUACCACUUGGUCCUUGGAUAGGUAAGCAAGUGGCCUUCAUGAACUGUAUCAAGUCAGAAAAGGCCCUUUUCUGCUUUUCU